AUUUGGCGGUAUUUAAAUCUAAUUAGAGGAACUUGUUUUUUAAUUGAUAAUCCCCAUUAAAUCUUACUUAAUUUAAUUAGUUUAUAUAUCGUCGUCAUAAGAAUUUUUUAAAAGAAAAAAAAUCUUCUAAAAUUUUAAUUUUAAAUUAUGUCAGAUCAAGGUUUAGCUAUAAUUAAGAAAAUAUGAGUUACAAUAAAAUUAUUUAAAUGGAUUUAAAUCUUAAAAUUUUAAUGAAGGUGGAUUUAAUAGUAAAAUUAAUUAUAGAGUUAAUUUGAUUUUAGUUCUUAAAUAUGUACAAAUCGCCCGUCACUCUCUG
rnacentral:rRNA from 1 species